rnacentral:piRNA from 1 species
UAGUAAGGAGAGGUCAUUGUAUAAAGC